rnacentral:rRNA from 1 species
UACAGAGGUCUCGAGCGUUAGGCGGAAUCACUGGGCUUAAAGCGUGUGUAGGUGGAUCGUUAAGUACCUUGUGAAAUCCCACGGCUUAACCGUGGAACUGCUUGGUAUACUGGCGGUCUUGAGCCACUUAGGGGCGACCGGAACAAAUGGUGGAGCGGGUGAAAUGCGUAGAUAUCAUUUGGAACGCCAAUGGUGAAAACAGGUCGCUGGGAGUGUGCUGACACUGAGACACGAAAGCCAGGGGAGCAAACGGG